GGGUUGUGAGGUUAAGCGAAUAAGCGUACACGGUGGAUGCCUAGGCAAUCAGAGGCGAUGAAGGACGUGCUAAUCUGCGAUAAGCGUCGGUAAGGUGAUAUGAACCGUUAUACCCGACGAUUUCCGAAUGGGGAAACCCAAUAUCCAAUGGAUAUUAUCAUUAACUGAAUACAUAGGUUAAUGAAGCGAACCGGGAGAACUGAAACAUCUCAGUACCCCGAGGAAAAGAAAUCAACCGAGAUUCCCCUAGUAGCGGCGAGCGAACGGGGAACAGCCCAGAGUCUUAAUCAAUAGCAGCAUCAGGAGAACGGUCUGGAAAGUCCGGCAGUAAAGGGUGAUAGCCCCGUAUCCGAAGAUGCUGUUAUUGUGAACUCGAUGAGUAGGGCGGGACACGUGUUAUCCUGUCUGAAUAUGGGGGGACCAUCCUCCAAGGCUAAAUACUCCUGAUUGACCGAUAGUGAACCAGUACCGUGAGGGAAAGGCGAAAAGAACCCCGGCGAGGGGAGUGAAAAAGAACCUGAAACCGUGUACGUACAAGCAGUAGGAGCCCCACCACUAAGCUAGUGGUGAACUCACAGCGAUUCUUUUGCAUGAUAAUGUGCGGUAGACGGAGCGAAUGCGACGUCCAACCAACAAAAUCAAGCAGAGGAGGCUUAGUGGUGGGGUGACUGCGUACCUUUUGUAUAAUGGGUCAGCGACUUAUAUUCUGUAGCGAGGUUAACCGUAUAGGGGAGCCGUAGGGAAACCGAGUCUUAACUGGGCGAAUGAGUUGCAGGGUAUAGACCCGAAACCCGGUGAUCUAUCCAUGGGCAGGUUGAAGGUUGGGUAACACUAACUGGAGGACCGAACCGACUAAUGUUGAAAAAUUAGCGGAUGACUUGUGGAUGGGGGUGAAAGGCCAAUCAAACCGGGAGAUAGCUGGUUCUCCCCGAAAGCUAUUUAGGUAGCGCCUCGUGAACUCAUCUUCGGGGGUAGAGCACUGUUUCGACUAGGGGGUCAUCCCGACUUACCAACUCGAUGCAAACUGCGAAUACCGAAGAAUGUUAUCACGGGAGACACACGGCGGGUGCUAACGUCCGUCGUGAAGAGGGAAACAACCCAGACCGCCAGCUAAGGUCCCAAAGUCAUGGUUAAGUGGGAAACGAAGUGGGAAGGCUCAGACAGCCAGGAUGUUGGCUUAGAAGCAGCCAUCAUUUAAAGAAAGCGUAAUAGCUCACUGGUCGAGUCGGCCCGCGCGGAAGAUGUAACGGGGCUAAACCAUGCACCGAAGCUGCGGCAGCGACACUAAGUGUUGUUGGGUAGGGGAGCGUUCUGUAAGCCUGCGAAGGUGUACUGUGAGGUAUGCUGGAGGUAUCAGAAGUGCGAAUGCUGACAUAAGUAACGAUAAUGCGGGUGAAAAACCCGCACGCCGGAAGACCAAGGGUUCCUGUCCUACGUUAAUCGGGGCAGGGUGAGUCGACCCCUAAGGCGAGGCUGAAAAGCGUAGUCGAUGGGAAACGGGUUAAUAUUCCCGUACUGGUGGUAACUGCGAUGGGGGAACGGAGAAGGCUAGGUUGUCCGGGCGACGGUCGUCCCGGUUCAAGCAUGUAGGCAGAGUGAUUAGGCAAAUCCGGUCACUUAAUGCUGAGGUGUGAUGACGAACCACUAAGGUGGUGAAGCAAUUGAUGCCCUGCUUCCAGGAAAAGCCUCUAAGCUUCAGGUUACCAACAAUCGUACCCCAAACCGACACAGGUGGUCAGGUAGAGAAUACUCAGGCGCUUGAGAGAACUCGGGUGAAGGAACUAGGCAAAAUGGUGCCGUAACUUCGGGAGAAGGCACGCUGGCGGUAAGUGAAGUCCCUUGCGGACGGAGCCGAAGCCAGUCGAAGAUACCAGCUGGCUGCAACUGUUUAUUAAAAACACAGCACUGUGCAAACACGAAAGUGGACGUAUACGGUGUGACGCCUGCCCGGUGCUGGAAGGUUAAUUGAUGGGGUUAUCCUUAGGGAGAAGCUCUUGAUCGAAGCCCCAGUAAACGGCGGCCGUAACUAUAACGGUCCUAAGGUAGCGAAAUUCCUUGUCGGGUAAGUUCCGACCUGCACGAAUGGCGUAAUGAUGGCCAGGCUGUCUCCACCCGAGACUCAGUGAAAUUGAACUCGCUGUGAAGAUGCAGUGUACCCGCGGCAAGACGGAAAGACCCCGUGAACCUUUACUAUAGCUUGACACUGAACAUUGAGCCUUGAUGUGUAGGAUAGGUGGGAGACUAUGAAGUGUGGACGCCAGUCUGCAUGGAGUCAACCUUGAAAUACCACCCUUUAACGUUUGAUGUUCUAACCUAGGCCCAUAAUCUGGGUCGGGGACCGUGUCUGGUGGGUAGUUUGACUGGGGCGGUCUCCUCCUAAAGAGUAACGGAGGAGCACGAAGGUUGGCUAAGCAUGGUCGGACAUCAUGCGGUUAGUGCAAAGGCAUAAGCCAGCUUGACUGUGAGAGUGACGGCUCGAGCAGGUACGAAAGUAGGUCUUAGUGAUCCGGUGGUUCUGAAUGGAAGGGCCAUCGCUCAACGGAUAAAAGGUACUCCGGGGAUAACAGGCUGAUACCGCCCAAGAGUUCAUAUCGACGGCGGUGUUUGGCACCUCGAUGUCGGCUCAUCACAUCCUGGGGCUGAAGUAGGUCCCAAGGGUAUGGCUGUUCGCCAUUUAAAGUGGUACGCGAGCUGGGUUUAGAACGUCGUGAGACAGUUCGGUCCCUAUCUGCCGUGGGCGUUGGAAGAUUGAGAGGGGUUGCUCCUAGUACGAGAGGACCGGAGUGAACGCACCACUGGUGUUCGGGUUGUCAUGCCAAUGGCAUUGCCCGGUAGCUAAGUGCGGAAGAGAUAACCGCUGAAAGCAUCUAAGCGGGAAACUUGCCUCGAGAUGAGUCUUCCCUGUCACCUAGAGUGACCUAAAGGAACGUUUAAGACUAAGACGUUGAUAGGCUGGGUGUGUAAGCGUAGCGAUACGUUGAGCUAACCAGUACUAAUGAACCGUGAGGCUUAACCUGACAACACCGAAGGUGUUU
rnacentral:rRNA from 1 species